CGCGCAGGCGGCCAGGUCAGUCUCGUGUGAAAUCCCUCGGCUCAACUGAGGAAUUGCACGGGAAACUGCCUGGCUUGAGUUCGGGAGAGGGAAGCGGAAUUCCGGGUGUAGCGGUGAAAUGCGCAGAUAUCCGGAGGAACACCAGUGGCGAAGGCGGCUUCCUGGACCGUGACUGACGCUGAGGCGCGAAAGCUAGGGGAGCGAAACG
rnacentral:rRNA from 1 species